GAGUUUAAGCAUAUCAAUAAGCGGAGGAGAAGAAACUUACGAGGAUUCCCUUAGUAACGGCGAGCGAACCGGGAUCGGCCCAGCUUGAGAAUCGGACGGCCGCGCCGUUCGAAUUGUAGUCUGUAGAAGCGUCCUCAGCGACGGACCGGGCCCAAGUCCACUGGAAGGUGGCGCCGGAGAGGGUGAGAGCCCCGUCGUGCCCGGACCCUGCCGCAUCACGAGGCGCUGUCGGCGAGUCGGGUUGUUUGGGAAUGCAGCCCCAAUUGGGCGGUAAAUUCCGUCCAAGGCUAAAUACUGGCGAGAGACCGAUAGCGAACAAGUACCGCGAGGGAAAGGUGAAAAGGACUUUGAAAAGAGAGUCAAAGAGUGCUUGAAAUUGU
rnacentral:rRNA from 1 species